GACGAACGCUGGCGGCGCGCCUAACACAUGCAAGUCGAACGAGCGAGCGAGAGCUUGCUUUCUCGAGCGAGUGGCGAACGGGUGAGUAACGCGUGAGGAACCUGCCUCAAAGAGGGGGACAACAGUUGGAAACGACUGCUAAUACCGCAUAAGCCCACGACCCGGCAUCGGGUAGAGGGAAAAGGAGCAAUCCGCUUUGAGAUGGCCUCGCGUCCGAUUAGCUAGUUGGUGAGGUAACGGCCCACCAAGGCGACGAUCGGUAGCCGGACUGAGAGGUUGAACGGCCACAUUGGGACUGAGACACGGCCCAGACUCCUACGGGAGGCAGCAGUGGGGAAUAUUGCACAAUGGGGGAAACCCUGAUGCAGCGACGCCGCGUGGAGGAAGAAGGUCUUCGGAUUGUAAACUCCUGUUGUUGAGGAAGAUAAUGACGGUACUCAACAAGGAAGUGACGGCUAACUACGU
rnacentral:rRNA from 1 species